rnacentral:rRNA from 1 species
CCUACGGGUGGCAGCAGUGAGGAAUAUUGGUCAAUGGACGAGAGUCUGAACCAGCCAAGUAGCGUGAAGGAUGACUGCCCUAUGGGUUGUAAACUUCUUUUAUAUGGGAAUAAAAUGUUCCACGUGUGGGAUUUUGUAUGUACCAUAUGAAUAAGGAUCGGCUAACUCCGUUCCAGCAGCCGCGGUAAUACUGAGGAUCCGAUCGUUAUCCGGAUUUAUUGGGUUUAAAGGGAGCGUAGGUGGAUUGUUAAGUCAGUUGUGAAAGUUUGCGGCUCAACCGUAAAAUUGCAGUUGAAACUGGCAGUCUUGAGUACAGUAGAGGUGGGCGGAAUUCGUGGUGUAGCGGUGAAAUGCUUAGAUAUCACGAAGAACUCCGAUGGCGAAGGCAGUUCACUGGACUGCAACUGACACUGAGGCUCGAAAGUGUGGGUAUCAAACAGGAUUAGAUACCCGUGUAGUC